AGUGCGCGUAUCCCGGGAGCGGAUCUUGAUGCUAGCUCUGUGUGCAGUGUAAUUUUAUUAAGAGUCCCGCCCCCUCCAUACGGGAGGAAACGUGUGUCCCUGGGGCCCUCAGCCAAGCCUCCACUAUCUUUUUGGCCCAGACGGAUUUCCCAGGUCACAAGUGGCUGGAGACUUCCUCUUGAAAAACAUUUGCCGUCGUUUUUCCCUGGCAGAGCCCCUUUGACCCUGGCUAACAAGGACAGCCUGACUUGGAUCCCACUAUGCAGGAAGGAAGGCGACUCUUCCCCGCACCUCUUGCUACGAUUAGGACUUGCGACUUGGUGAAAACAGGAAUCAAAACUUGGGCCUAUUUCUCCUGAGGUCUGCUUGCCUAGAACAAUUCGUAACGAUGAAUCUUAUUAAAAAGAGAAAGUCCUCCCCGACUUUAUCUUUUUCCGCCCAGAAUCCGAUAAGGAAGACUUGUUCUGGCCCCCUCAGCUCUCUGACCUCACCUACCAGAGGAGAGAGUGGGAUCCUCUAACACUCGAGCCGUCAUCCCAGCACUAGGGGACAGUGACCAGUGUGGCUCCCGUGGCCAGAACCCUUCUGAAGUUUGGGUUGCCCUGUGGUCUUCGCCUUCAAAGCAGGCCGCCACUUGAAUCCUUCUGGAACGGACAGUGUUGCUGUAAACGCCGCGGAAUAGUAUCUUCUAAGUAUUCGUAGCUUCUUUCUUGAGGGAUCUCGGGAACGUUCCGUGUAUUAACCACUAACGUAUUCCAAAGUUAACUUCGUGGUAAAGUCGCUGGGGAAAAAAAUAACUGCUCCAGUUCCACAGGUGAUUGAAACAAAAGUGAUCUGUUUCCCAAACUUCCUUGAUGGUAAAGAAUGACUUGGGGUACUAAUUAAAAAUAAAAAUAAUUGCGUCAUUUCCAACCUACUAAAUCGGAGUCUUUAAGGGCAGGUCCUGGGAAGCCAUCCAUGUAAUGGGGGUCCUAAGUGGGCUCUUAUCGGCGAGGGCGGGGACUCAGCGAGAGGGCUGGCAGCGACGGGACAAACCCCAGACGGCUGCGCGGAUGCGUUUGUUCCUGGAGCUUGCGAGCACUUGCAAUGCAUGGACACCUCCACAGGGUGGUGGCCUGCCACCACGAGAGCACCAGCUCCGCCAGCGUCCUCUCCAGAGGACACUUUAGAGCAGAAAGAAACGGACAGUUCAGUCUUCCCCUCAGCUUGAAGGCAGCAUUCUUUUGCUUCUCUUUGAGUCAGGUAAUUGUUUUGUCUUCCUUCCACUCAGUCAGCAGGUAUUAAACAGCAACCGCAUUGCCAAGCACUGUGGUGGGGGCUGUGGCUUAUGCUUUCCGGAGCAGAACAUAGUUGUUGCUACCUUGGGGAUGGGGGCGGGAGGAAUAGAAAAAAUGCGGAGUUAGCGGAGUAUCAGGGAACAAGGGUGGAACAGAUAUAAUAAUUGCAGUACAGUUAGUUAGGGCCUAUUGAAGGAGCACAAACGAAGCGUAAACUUGUCUGGGAACUAGUGGAAGGUGUCCCCCAGGGGAUGUUAAAGAGCUAAUUCUAGAAUUAAUUCAGUGGGGAAAGAAAAGGAGAGGGAGAUGCCAGGCAGAGGGAGCAGCAUGCCUGAUUGUCUGGAGGUGAUCAGAGGGCCUGGCUGAUUGAAGAUGAACAGGAAUUGUGUAGUCUGUGUUCAUUCAUUCAUUUAUUCAUUCCACAACUAUGGAUUUAAAAACGGUUAGUCAACCAAUGUGGAAAAAUAGCAUCUCGAUAAAAUGUUCUUCAAAUGUCCACCUAGUAUUUUGAUACUCAGUUUUCAUGACUGGACCCACCAUCAAAGGCCUCUGACUCUGAUAUUUCUAUCCUUUGGACCCUAUGGGAGAUCUUUGCCUCCAUGUGAUAAUCUCCUUCUCACGUUUUUACUAAAAGUUUGGAGACUUGAAUUCUGCUCCAAAUAGAGUGAAACAGGGUCUUGCUCUAUUGCCCAGGCUGGAGUGCUGUGUUCUAUCACAGCUCACUGCAGCCUCCAUCUCCCAGGCUCAAGCCAUCCUCCCUCAAUCUUUUGACCAAUACUCAUAGUAAGAAAUUUAUUUCACUAAGAAAUACUUGACUACCUAUAAUGUUUUUCAAGGAUUUCUAUUCUGUUCUUUUCAAUUCUGUUAUUAGUCUGCUUUAGCUGCCAUACAAAAUACUACACACUGGGCGGCUUAAACAACAGAAAUUUAUUUCUUAUACUUCUGGAGGCCGGGAAGUCCAAGAUCAAAGUGCUGGCCAAUUCGAUUGAAGGCCCUCAUCCUGACUUGCAGAUAGUCAGUCGCCUUCUCCCUGUGUUCUCAUGUGGCAGAGAGAUCUCACUCUCUUCCUCUUUUUUUUUUUUCCUUUUUAAAUUUUUUUUUUUGUAUUUUUAUUUUUUUACUUUUAUUUACUUAUUUUUUUGAGAUGGAGUCUCACUCUGUCGCCCAGGCUGGAGUGCAGUGGCACGAUCUCAGCUCACUGCAACCUCUGCCUCCUAGGUUCAGGUGAUUCUUGUGCCUCAGCCUCCCAAGUAGCUGGGAUUACAGGCAUGUGCCACCACGCCUGGCUAAUUUUUUUUUUUUUUUUGUAUUUUAGUAGAGACGGUUUCACCAUGUUGGCCAGGCUGGUUGCCAACUCCUGACCUCAGGUGAUCCACCCGCCUCAGCCUCCCAAAGUGCUUGGAUUACAGGCAUGAGACGCCACACCUGGCCUCUUUUUUUGUACUUUUAGUAGAGACAGAGUUUCACCAUGUUGGCCAGGCUGGUCUCAAACUCCUGACAUCAAGUGAUCUGCCCGUCUGUGCCUCCCAAAUGGCUGGGAUCUCUUCCUCUUAUGAGCCUUCAGUGUUAAUGGAAUUAGGGCCGACCGUUAUGACUUCAUUUAACCUUAAUUAUAUUUUAAUUAUAUCUCCAGAUACAGUCACACUGGGGGUUAGGCCUUCAACAUAUGAAUUUGGCAGGGAGGGGACACACAAUUCAGUCCAUAGCAAAUUCUAUGUCAUUUAAUUUUUAGAAUACCUCUCAAGGCCCACUAAAUGUGAGCUUAUGAUCCACUAUUGCAGUGGUUCUCAAUAGUGGAGGAGUGGUGGUUGGGUUUUGCCCUGAAGGAACAUUUGGCGAUGUCUGGAGAGACAGUUUUGCUUUUCACAAACGGGACAGAUACUGCAUCUAGUGGGGAGAAGCCAGGGACGCUGCGAAACAUCCUACUAUGCACAGGACGGCCCUCGACAACAGAACGUUAUUCAGCCCAAAAAGUCAGUAGUGCUUAGGUUGAGAAAACCCAGCACUAAUCAUUUGGAAACUCAAUAUUUAUAGCAAUCAAUUAUUUCGGGAGUACUAUAAUUUCUACAAGGUCACUAUCCAUUGCUCCUGCCUCAGAGUAAGGUGGUGGUGUUUUUUUUCCCCAAGUGAGAUCUAAAGGGAGAAAAAAAUGGAAUGGACAGUUAUUAUUAUCUGUGCCUAUUAUGUGCUAGGUAUUCUAUAUAAACAUUUCUAAUAUAUAAUUCUUACAACAACCCUGUGAGAUAGACAUUAUUACCUCCGUUUCAUUGAUUGGGACACAAGCUCAAAUACUUGAAUGAUCUGCACAGGUUUCCCAAAAGGUAAUGAAAGAACCUGGGUUAUAAAUCCUGUCUCUGAUUGUCCGGGGGUAGAAUAGAAAGGAAAACAGUAAAUAUGUGGAUAUUUAUCCACAUAUCUCUAACUCCUAAUACAAUGCCUAAUAUCCACAGGUGCCGGUAAAUACAUGGUAACUGGUCAAUUGUUCAAGUGCACAUAGCUAGUAAGUGGCCCAGCCCGAAGCCCAUAUUUUAUUUUACUGUACUGUGCUUUCUCCUUUGGUCCAAAGUAGGAAAAUUUCGUUACCCAAACAACAGCAAGGAAGCAUAGCAGAAUGGAUCCUUGGUAUUUACAACCUAAGUCAAUGAUUUUAUAUGGAUCACUUGCAAUUUUUAUUGCAUGUAAGAAACUAUUGAAUGUUAAGGGACAUGGCUUACAUUCUGGUUUUGCCUACAUACAUGGAAUUCUAAUUCUUCAUACAUGAAAUAUUUAUGAUGUAACAAUUAGCAUUAAUCCUUUAAUUCAGGAAAACAGUAGGAGGAGCUCCUUUCUUUUAAAUGAAUAAGCGUUUACAUAAAUCUGUAUAAUAAUUAAUUUUAGAGCACCAAAACUACAAAUAAUAUAUUACAAAGAUAUAGAAGAUUCUACAUAUAUAAAGAAUUGCUUUUUAAAAAACUUUAGUCAGAAUUAUCAUUAAAGUCAGGGAUGAUAAAUGAGAUAAAAAAUUAUGUGAAAUUGAAUUAAGGGUAUUUGGGGAUACUUAUUACUUCCAUACUAGAAAAUUUGAAAAAAUAAGUUAAAUAGAUACAUGCUUAGAAAAAUUAAAAUACUAAAUGAGAUGUAAGAACAGAGAAUAUGAAUAAAGCAAACAAAAAAAGGAAUAAGGAUUAUAUAGAUAAUAAAUUAUCUGGCAGUAUUAGUCUGUUUUCAUUCUGCUGAUAAAGACAUACCCGAGGUCAGGCGCAGAGGCUCAUGCCUGUAAUCCCAGCACUUUGGGAGGCCAAAGUGACUGGAUCGCUUGAGGUCAGGAGUUCGAGACUAGCCUGGCCAACAUGGUGAAACCCCAUCUCUACUAAAAAUACAAAAAUUAACUGGGCGUGGUGGUGCGUGCCUGUAAUUCCAGCUACUCGGGAGGCUGAGGUUGGAGAAUCACUUGAACCUGAGAGACGGAGGUUGCAGUGAGCCGAGAUCAUGCCGCUGCCCUCAAGCCUGGGCUACAGAGCAAGACUCCAUCUCAGAAAAGAAAAAAAGACAUACCUGAGACUGGGUAAUUUACAAAAGAAAGAGGUUUAAUGGACUUACAGUUCCAUGUGGCUGGGGAGGCUUCACAAUCAUUGCGGAAGAUGAAAGUCACAUCUCACAUGGUGGCAGAGAAGAGCUUAUGCAGGGAAACUCUCCUUUUUAAAGCCAUCAGAUCUCAUGAGACUUAUUAACUAUCAUGAGAAUAGCACAGGAAAGAACUGCCCCCAUGAUUCAAUUACCUCCCACUGGGUCCGUCCCACAACACGUGGGAAUUUAAGAUGAGAUUUGGGUGGGGACACAGAGCCAAGCCGUAUCCUUCCACCCUGGCCCCUCCUAAAUCUCAUGUCCUCACUUUUCAAAACCAAUCAUGCCUUCCCAGCAGCCCCCCAAAGUGUUAUUUCAGCAUUAACUCAGAAGUCCACAGUCCAAAAUCUCAUCUGAGUCAAGGCAAGUCCCUUGCACCUGUGAGCCUGUAAAAUUAAAAGCAAGUUAGUUACUUCCUAGAUACAAGGGGGGUACAGGCAUUGGGUAAAUAUAGCCAUUCCAAAUAGGAGAAAUUGGCCAAAACAAAGGGACUACAGGCUCCAAGCAAGUCCAAAAUCCAGCAGGGCAGUCAAAUCUUAAAGCUCCAAAAUGAUCUCCUUUGACUCCAUGUCUCACAUCCAGGUCACGCUGAUGUAAGAGGUGGGUUCCCACGGUCUUGGGAAGCUCUGCUCCUGUGGCUUUGCAGGGUACAGCCUCCCUCCUGGCUGCUUUCCCAGGCUGACGCUGAGUGUCUGUUGCUUUCCAGGCACACAGUGCAAGUUGUCGGUGUAUCCAUCACUCUGUGGUCUGGAGGACAGUGGUCCUCUUCUCACAGCUCCACUGAGUGGGGCCCCAGUAGGGAGUCUGUGUUGGGUCUCCCACCCCACAUUUCCUUUCUGCACUGCCCUAGCAGAGGUUCUCCAUGAGGGCCCCGCCCCUGCAGCAAACUUCUGCUUGGGCAUCCAGGUGUUUCCAUACAACCUCUGAAAUCUAGGUGGAGUUUCCCAAACCCCAAUUUUUGACUUCUGUGCACUGCAGGCCCAACACCAUGUGGAAGCUGCCAAGGCUUGGGUCUUGCACCCUUUGAGGCCACGGCCCGAGCUGUACCUUGGCCCCUUUCAGCCAUGGCUGGAGCAGCUGGGAUGCAGGGCACCAAGUCCCUAGGCUGCCUGCAGCAUAGGGACCCUGGACCUGGCCCAUGAAAUCACUUUUUCCUCCUUGGCCUCCAGUCCUGUGAUGGGAGGGGCUGCCAUGAAGACCUCUGAGAUGCCCUGGAAAUAUUUUCCCCAUUGUCUUGGGAUUAACAUUCACCUCCUCGUUACUUAUUCAAAUUUCUGCAACCGGCUUAAAUUUCUCCUCAGAAAAUGGAAUUUUCUUUUCUAUUGCAUUUUCAGGCUGCAAAUUUUCCAGACUUUCAUGCUCUGCUUCCCUUACAAAACUGAAUGCCUUUAACAGCACCAAGUCAUCUCCUAAAUUCUUUGCUGCUUAGAAAUUUCUUCUGCCAGAUACCCUAAAUCAUCUCUCUCAAGUUCGGAGUUCCACAAAUCUCUAUGGCAGGGGCGAAAUGUCACCAGUCUCUUUGCUAAAACAUAGCAAGAGUCACCUUUACUCCAGUUCCCAACAAGUUCCUCAUCUCCAUCUGAGACCACCUCAACCUGGAUUUCAUUGUCACUAUCAGUAUCAGCAUUUUGGGCAAAGCCAUUCAACUAGUCUCUAGGAAGUUCCAAACUUUUCCACAUUUUCCUCUCUUCUUCUGAGCCCUCCAAACUGUUCCAGCCUCUGUGUGUUACCUAGUUACAAAGUCACUUCCACAUUUUUGGGUAUCUUUUCAGCAGCGCCCACUCUACUGGUACCAAUUUGCUAUAUUAAUCCAUUUUUAUGCUACUGAUAAAGACAUACCUGAUACUGGGCAAUUUAAAAAAGAAUGAGGUUUAGUGGACUUACAUUUCCAUGUGGCUGAGGAGGCCUCACAAUUAUGGCAGAAGAUGAAAGGCAUGUCUACAUGGUGGCAGACAAGAGAAGAAAAACUUGUGCAGGGAAACUCUCCUUUUUAAAACCAUCAGAUCUCGUCAGAGUUAUUCACUAUCAUGAGAACAGCACGGGAAAGACCUGCCCCCAUGAUUCAGUUACCUCCCACCGGAUCCCUCCCACAACAUGUGGGAAUUCAGGAUGAGAUUUGGGUGGGGACACAGCCAAACCAUAUCACUGGCUCUGAUAGUUAACUGGAGAAAUGCUGUUUUAACUGUUAAAAGACAAAGAUUCCUGAUAUCUAAGCUGUUUUGAAGUAUAUAGCCUAACAUAGUGAUACUAUAAUAGUUCGUUAAUGAAUAAACGUAGUGAUUAAAUUACAUUUACUAAAUUAAUCUUAUGACACAAAUAUUAUUUUUGAAUCCCCGAAAUAAAACUAAUACCUAAAACAAAAAUUAUAGUCGAUGCUUACUUUAGCCAAUCUUUUAGUUUCCUCAUCUGUAAAAGGGCAUAAUAAUAGUGCCCACUUUAUUCAGUGGUUGUGAGGAUAAAGCACAAUAAUCCAUGUAAAUUUCUUAGGGAGAAAUUUACUACUCUGACUAAUAAAUAUAUGAAUUCUUUGUCCACUUGAGUGUAGGAAACAAGCUAAGUGGUUGCACUUUAAGUUAAUGACCACAGACUUCAAGUGGGCCCUCGAUGCCCACAACAUUUCUCUAGUCUUUUCAUGCUCCGCUCUCUCAAUUUCUUUUUUUUUUUUUUUUUUUUUUUUUUUGAGACAAGGUGUUGCUGUGUCACCCAGGCCAGACUGCAGUGGUACCAUCAUGGCUCACUGCAGCCUUGGCCUCCUAAGGGUCAAUCAGUCCUCCCACCUCAGCUUCCUGAGUAGCUAGGACUACAGGUGUACACCACUACACCUGGCUAAUUUUUGUAUUAUUUGUAGAGACAGGAUUUCUCCACGUUGCUCAGGCUUGGUCUUGAACUCCUGAGCUCUAGCUCUCUGCCUGCGUUGGCCUCAAAAGUGUUGAGAUUACAGGCAUGAGGCACCAUCCCCUGGCCCAUGCUCUUGUCUAUUUGAUGUCAGUUUUAUAACUUUUGUCUCUUCACACCUCUAACACAUUCUAUUCUAUCCUCACUCUCAGUUGACAACCUUGCUGCUAAGUCACUGAGAAGAUAAUGGCUCUCACGAGCCCCCACCACAUUUACCCACCAGCCAACAUCUGUCUUCAUGCAUUGUCCUCCCCCUCCUCUCCUGCUAACUAGAGAGGAACUCUCCUUGCUCCUAUAGAAAGCCAGCUCCUCUGUUUUCUUGCUCAUGCCACACCAGCAAUUCUGCCCUCUCCUGCAUCAUCAAGUUCUCUCUGUUGGAGUAUCCCCAUCAACAUGAAUGCUGUAAUGUACCCCGUAUGUAUAAGCAGACUAAGGACCCCCAAAAGAUAUCCCUGUCCUAAUUCCCAGAACCUGUGAUUGUGUUAGGUUACACAGCAGAGGAGAAUCAAGGGAGAAGAUGGAAUGAGGUUAAUAAUGAGCUGAUCUUAAAAUACAGAGAUUAUCCUGUACUAUCUGGGUAUACCCAGCGUUGCCACAAGAGGUCUUGGAAGAAGAGGGAGGCAGAAGAAGACUGUUAGAGAAAGAUGUGACUGUGGAAGAAGGGUCAAAGAGAUACAAUGUUGCUGGCCUUAAAGAUGGAAGAAGGGGUCAGGAGCCAGGGAAUGCAGGAAGCCUCUAGAAGCUGAAACAGGCUAGGAAACUGAUUCUCCCCUAGAGCCUCAGGAAAGGAACACAGUCUCCCUGACAGCUUAAUUUUAGCCUGGUGAGAUCCACAUUGGACUUCCAACCUACAAGAUUGUAAGAUGACUAAGUUGUGUUGUUUUAAGCCACUAAAUUUGUGGUAAUUUGUUACAGCAGCAAUAAAAAACUAAUGUACCGUAUCACAAACAAACAACAAAAACUCGCUUCAGCUGUUGUCCUAUUUUCUUGCUCCCUUAUAGAAAACCCUUUAAAUAAGUCACCAAGUCACCUGUACUCACUGGUUCUCGAUGCCCCCACCCCCCCACCAAUUUAGUAAAAUGUACAUAACAUGAAAUUUCCCAUCUUCACCAUGUUUAUUGUAUAGCUCAGUGCAGGGGUCCCCAACACCCCCUGCCUCCCCCCUCCCCCAGGUCGGAGGGAGUGAUGCUUUGUCUGUACUUACAACUGCUCCCCAUCGCUCACAUUACUGCGUGAGCUCUGUCUGCUGUCAGAUCGGCAGUGGCUUUAGAUUCUCUUAGGAGCAUGAGCCCUAUUGUGAACUGUGCAUUGCGAGGAAUCUAGGUCAUGUUCUCCUUUUGAGAAUCUAAUGCCUGAUGAUCUGUCACUGUCUCCCAUCACCCCUGAGAUGGGACCGUCCAGUUGUAGGAGAACAAGCCCAGGGCUCCCACUGAUUCUACAUUAUGGUGAGUUGUAUAUGUAUUUCAUUAUAUAUUACAAUGUAAUAAUAACAGAAAUAAGAUGCACUAUAAAUGUAAUGAGUUGAAUCAUUCUGAAAUCAUUGCCCCCCGACCGCCACCCCUGCCCCAGUCCCUGGAAAUAUCGUCUUCCUCGAAACUGAUCCCUGGUGCCAAAAAGGUUGGGAACUAAAAGCUUAGUGGAUUAAAUAUAUUUGUAGUGUUAUGCAUCACCACCAUCCAGCUCCAUAACUCUUUGCAUCUUGUAAAACUGAAAUUCUAUGACCAUUAAACAAUAACUCCCCAUUCCUCCCUUCCCCCAGUAACCACCAUUCUACUUUCUGUCUAGAAUUCUGGCCACUCUAAGUAUUUCAUGUAAGUUAUGGAAUCAUAAGAGUAUUUGUCUUUUUGUGACUGGCUUAUUUCACUUAGCAUAAUGUUCUUGAGGUUCACCGAUGUUGUAACAUGUCAGAAUGUAUUUCCUUUUUUUUUUUUUUUUUUUUUUUUGAGACGGAGUCUUGCACUGUUGCCCAGGCUGGAGUGCAGUGGUGUGAUCUCGGCUCACUGCAAGCUCCACCUCCCGGGUUCACGCCAUUCUCCUGCCUCAGCCUCCCAAGUAGCUGGGAUUCCAGGUGCCCGCCACCACGCCCGGCUAAUUUUUGUAUUUUUAGUAGAGACUGGGUUUCACCUUGUUAGCCAGGAUGGUCUUGAUCUCCUGACCUCGUGAUCCACCUGCCUCAGCCUCCCACCGUGCUGGGAUUACAGGCGUGAGCCACCACACCCGGCCAUGUCUUUCCUUUUUAAGGCUGAAUGAUAUUCCACGAUAUGUAUACACCACAUUUUCCUUAUCUGUUCAUUUGUUGAUGGACACUUGGGUUGCUUCUACAUUUUAGCUAUUGUGAGUAGUGCUGCUAUGAACAUGGGUAUACAAACCCAAUUCUCUCUUUAUUUUAGUUUUUACUUUUUUCUUUCUCAGUGAUCCUUUUCUGACCAAUUAUCUCUUGAAUCUGCUAUAAUAAAUCUUUUUUUUCUGACCACUCCAUCAAAUGUGUGCUCGUCAAGGUCACCAGUGACCUCUACAUCCUCAUAGCCAAUUCACAGUUCUCAAAUAGUAUUAGAAAAGGUGCUCACUCCCUCACCUUUGAAAUACCUUCUUCUCUGGCUUCCAGGAUGCCACACUGUCCUGGUUUCUGCCUUCAUUUGUGGUUACUCUUCAGUCUCCUUUGCCAAUUCCUCCUAAUUUCGCUAAUCACAUGGAGUAGCCUAGGAUUCAGUGCUUGGAUCUCUUCUCUUUUCUGUCAGCCGUCCUUUUGAGCUGACCUCAUCCACUCUCAUAGCUUUAAAUACCACUUAUACACCGAUCACCAAGUGUGUAUCUCUAGCCAAGACCUGUGACCUUUACUCCAGACUCACAUAUCUAACCUCUCACUUGACAGCUCCAUGAGGAUGUCUGUUGGGCAUGUAAACCUUCACACUCCACAAAUGAUCUAAUCUUACCUCCAAAACCUGCUCAUCCUGUUUGUCUUCUCCAUCCUUUAAGUUGCUCAGGCCGAAAACUUUGACUCACCUUUGCCACCUCUUUUUCUUUCCUGCCCCUCACUCAACUUUUCAGUCAAUUCUGGUAGGAUUUUCUGUCUUCUUUGUUCAUAGAUGUAUCUCCAUGGCCUAAAACCAUAAUUAGCACAAGCCUAUUAGCAAAGUCCUUCAAAAUAUAUCCAGAAUUUUAUUAAGUCUCACCACUUCUACUGCCACUAUCCCAGUGCAAGUCAUUUUCAUCUCAAGCCUGGACUUUUGUUAAAGCCUCCUAAAGAGGUCUAAGUAGUUUUCUUACUUCCUUUUCUUCCUAUAGUCUGUUCUCCACAUAGCAGAUAGAGUAAUCCUUUAACUAUAAACUAGAGCACAUCAUUGUUCUGCCUGACACCCUCCAUGGUGAAGUGAAGUGUCCUACCACCUCUACUUACGUGACUAUGCUGAGUGAAGUGUCCUACUUCACUCAGAGUAAAAGCCCAGUGCUUUACCAUGGCCUGCAAGGCCCAAUAACUCAGGUUCUGGGAACUUCCCCACCCUCUUCUCCUACUUCCUGCCCUCCCCAGUCUGCUCAGCCAUAUUGACAUCCUAAAUGUUUCUUGAACAAGUCACAUAACUUUCCACCUCAAGACCUUUGCAUUUGAUGUUCCUGAUUUCAAUGCUCUUUCUUCAGAUUCUUCACUACUCAUGCCCUCAACUCUUUCGCAUCUUCAAGAAGAUACUACCAUCUCAGUAAAGCCUUCUCUGGUCAUUCCAUUUUAAGUCUCCAUCACCCAGCUUCCACCCACAGCGUUCCCCUCUCUCGGUUUAUUUUUUCCAUUGCACUUAUUACUUCCAACACACCAGGCACUUUACUCAUUUUGUUUACCAUCUGUCUCCCCUACUAAGUUCCAUGAAGAGGAUCUUUUGGCUGCUUUGUUUACUAAAGUAUCCCAAGGUCCAGAAGAGUAGUUGGCACAUUAUAGGCAUUCAAUGUAUAAAGAUGCAUAUUUGAAUGAAUGAAUUGCUAGAAGGCAGAAUAUAAAGGGAAAAUUUAGAAACAUGAGGCCAACAAGGGAAGCAGGGACUGUGUCCUCAGUGACUUCUAAGCCAUGUUUCAAAGGUCAGUGGGAUGCCAUGCAUACAUUUUAAGUAUGGGAUUAGUAUGUUCAGAAUCGUAUUAUUUAAAAAGCACUCUAGUAAUAGUAUGGAGGAUUAGCAGAGGGUAAGUCUGGGAGAAGCUCAAGAUUUCUGACAGAUGGUAAGGCCACUCACUGAAGUAAGGAGGAGAAAUAGUUUGGAGGGCAGAGUGUGGUAAUGGUAGGAAAUGACAGUUAUCAUUUGGGACAUUUUGAGGUAAUGGAUUAGAAGUACUGAGGCCUUAACCCAAACACAGUACAAAGAGACAAAAAGAAAAAAAUGUAGAAGUGCUGUCAAGAAUCAUGGAGGAUGUAUUGAGAUGACAUGGUAUAAAUUUGUGUAUAGGAAAGCCAGAACAAGAUAAAGUGAGAAUGAUGGAAAAAACAAUAUCAAAAGUAUGUCGGGCCAGGCGCAGUGGCUUACACCUGUAAUCCCAGUACUUUGGGAGGCUGAGGAGGGAGAACUGCUUGAGGCCAGGAGUUCGAGACCAGCCUGGGCAAUCCAGCGUGAACCCCCAUCUCUAAAAAAAAAAAAAAUUUAAAGAGAUAAUGACAGAGUUUUCUGAAACUGAAAGAGAGACCAAAUUUUUCAUUCAAAUGGAGAGUGUACUCUGACUAUCAAGCAGGAAAAAUAAAAUAUAUAAAAUCUGUAGUAAGUUCUAUCACAAUGAAGCUGCAGAACAUGCAGGGUAAAAGGGAAAUGGUAAAAGCUGCCAGAAAAAAAGGGAGUGUCUUCAAUGGAACAAUAAUUAGGCUGGCAGCCUGCUUUCCUGUAGCAACCGUGCAAGCUGAAGGUGGCACAGCAAUAGCUUCAAAAUGCUGUGAGAAUCGCCGCCCACUCCUCACUGUGUGUGGGCUGGGUGUGGCACGCUGGCAACUCUCCCCAAACGACUCUGGAUGCUGGUGUCCCUAGAAUCUCUUGGGUCUAAAGAUUGAUCUUCUUACCUCCUAUAAUUCCUGAGGUGGAUAAUUAACUAGGGGGUCACAAAAUUAAUUCCACAAUCUUGUAACAUGUCCUGUAUAGAUGUUUUGACAAUGAACGUUUCCAGCUUUUGGGACAGCUCCCACAAUUCUAAAAUAAUGGGAAUGUCAUGCUUAACAUCCUAGUACGGUGAACAAUGUUACAUAAUUUGGGAUUUUCCUCUACUGUUUCCUGUAUGUUUGACUUGCUUCCCAAACUGGCUUGUAAACAUAUAUUACUUUUACAUUAGCUAAGUAGAAGUUUUUCAAUGUAUACUUUUAACAAUAAUAAUAAACAUUAUAUUCUUCUUCUUCUUCUUUAUUGAGCACGUCCUAUGAGCCAAGCUCUCUGCAAAGUGUUUUAUUCACAUUAUCUCUCAUUAACAUUAGCUGCAAGGUAAUGACUGUCACCUCCAUUUUACAGAUGAGUGAGCUGAAGCUUAGCAAGGUUAGUGACCUGCCCAGGGUCAUAUUCUGGGUAAGAGGAAAAGGUAGGAAUGUGACGCAUGUCUGUAUAACUUCAAAGCCUGACCUUUCAGCCUCUGUGCUAUAUUGAUCUGUGAAACAUACUAACUAUUGAUAAGAAUGACUGUGUUAAUAAUUUGGAGUGGGAAUAUUUACUUGAAAUGUUGACUUUUUUGUUGUUAUUCUUCCCGGAAAAAGAGUCUGUAUGGUCUCUUGCAGAAUUUCCAGCAAGGCCUAAUUCCACUGAAAUCAGUGCCUCUACCAGCCACCUGUAGAUGUAUUAUGGACUUUGAUUGAGUUCUUCUUUCCUCUGGAGAAGGAAUGGUAGAUGAAUCCGUGGACAGUUUCCAUUCAUAUGACUUGUCAGCAUUGAACACAUAACACCUCUUUUUGCAUUACCUCACAGAGUGUUGAUUCAGUAAAGCAUUAAAGCUGUGGGCUGGCAGUGCUACCCAGUAAUCCCUGAAGGGCCAGAGAGCCAUAGGUUAAGUUUGGAGGGGCUUUACCAGGGUCUAUUAUUCAGUGUCCUGCCAUGUGCUACACAGUUCAUUAUUUGCUUGAGGAAAAAGAGCAAGCCCUGAUAGUAAGCGGGUAAGGGGACAUGCUUCCCAAGAGUAACUUACUCUGUUUGUACUCUCAAUACCUUGCAGAGUGCUAGCCAUGUCAUGUGUGCUUAGUAAAACCUCAGUUAAAUCUAUAAACUUUAAGAACUUUGGAACAAAAGUAGUAGAAAAAGUAAGGGAGUUUUAGCAAGUGGGUAAAUGAUGAAAGUAAUCCUGUGUUGAAACUCAACCAGAUGAAUGUUGUUACCAAACUUCUGUACGGUCCACUAGGUCCAAAAAUAAAUUUUUGUGGUACAUAGGUAGUAGAAGUGGCCAGAUUAGCCAUAGACAGAUCUUGUUUACAUAUAAAGGCACAAUAAAAACUAUUGUCCAAGGCAGGGGAGAACAAUGCAUAAAAUCUUUAAUAUAUCUAUACUAGUUCUUACAGUAAUUAUUUCUAUUAUAUGCUCUUUCCAUUAUAAAAUGCUCAUUAGGGUGCAUGCCUUAGCAUGACUUUAAAACACUACAAAGGAACAAAAUUUCAAACCUCC
rnacentral:lncRNA from 1 species